UUCGGACUUGGCUCGAUUGAACGCUGGCGGGAUGCUUUACACAUGCAAGUCGAAUUAAGCAGCACGGACUUCGGUCUGGUGGCGAGUGCGAACGGGUGAGUAAUGUAUCGGAACGUGCCUAGUAGCGGGGGAUAACUACGCGAAAGCGUAGCUAAUACCGCAUACGCCCUUCGGGGGAAAGCGGGGGACCUUCGGGCCUCGCACCAUUAGAGCGGCCGAUAUCGGAUUAGCUAGUUAUGGGGUAACGGCUCACCGGAAGGCGACGAUCCGUAGCUGGUUUGAGAGGACGACCAGCCACACUGGGACUGAGACACGGCCCAGACUCCUACGGGAGGCAGCAGUGGGGAAUUUUGACAAUGGGGAAACCCUGAUCCAGCCAUCCCCGCGUGCGAUGAAGGCCUUCGGGUUAAAGCACUUUUGGCAGGAAAAGAAACGGCACGGGAUAAUACCCCGUGCAACUGACGGUACCUGCAGAAUAAGCACCGGCUAACUACGUGCCAGCAGCCGCAAUACGUAGGGUGCAAGCGUUAAUCGGAAUUACUGGGCGCAAGCGUGCGCAGGCGGUUUCGGAAAAGAAAGAUGUGAAAUCCCAGAGAGCUUAACUUUGGAACUGCAUUUUUAACUACCGAGCUAGGAGUGUGUCAGUGAGGUGGAAUUCCGCGUGUAGCAGUGAAAUGCGUAGAUAUGCGGAGGAACACCGAUGGCGAAGGCAGCCUCCUGGGAUAACACCGACGUGCUCAUGCACGAAAGCGUGGGGAGCAAACAGAUUAGAUACCCUGGUAGUCCACGCCCUAAACGAUGUCAACUAGCCGUUGGGGCCUUCGGGCCUUGGUAGCGCAGCUAACGCGUGAAGUUGACCGCCUGGGGAGUACGGUCGCAAGAUUAAAACUCAAAGGAUCUGACGGGGACCCGCACAAGCGGUGGAUGAUGUGGAUUAAUUCGAUGUAACGCGAAAACCUUACCUACCCCUUGACAUGUCUGGAAUCCCGAAGAGAUUUGGGAGUGCUCGCAAGAGAACCGGAACACAGGUGUUGCAUGGCUGUCGUCAGCUCGUGUCGUGAGAUGUUGGGUUAAGUCCCGCAACGAGCGCAACCCUUGUCAUUAGUUGCUACGAAAGGGCAAUUUAUGAGACUGCCGGUGACAAACCGAGGAAGGUGGGGAUGACGUCAAGUCCUCAUGGCCCUUAUGGGUAGGGCUUCACACGUCAUACAAUGGUCGGGACAGAGGGUCGCCAACCCGCGCGAGGGGGAGCCAAUCCCAGAAACCCGAUCGUAGGUCCGAUCGCGGUCUGCAACUCGACUGCGUGAAGUCGGAAUCGCUAGUAAUCGCGGAUCAGCAUGUCGCGGUGAAUACGUUCCCGGGUCUUGUACACACCGCCCGUCAUCAUGGGAGUGGGUUUUACCAGAAGUAGUUAGCCUAACCGUAAGGAGGGCGAUUACCACGGUAGGAUUCAUGACUGGGGUGAAGUCGUAACAAGGUAA
rnacentral:rRNA from 1 species